rnacentral:rRNA from 1 species
UACGUAGGGACCAAGCGUUGUUCGGAUUUACUGGGCGUAAAGGGCGCGUAGGCGGUAUAAUAAGUCGGAUGUGAAAUUCCGGGGCUCAACCCCGGAGCUGCAUUUGAAACUGUUAAACUAGAGUACAGUUAGGGUAAACGGAAUUCCUCGUGUAGCGGUGAAAUGCGUAGAUAUGAGGAAGAACACCGGUGGUGAAGACGGUUUACUGGGCUGUAACUGACGCUGAGGCGCGAAAGCAUGGGGAGCAAACAGG